UACGUAGGGUGCGAGCGUUAAUCGGAAUUACUGGGCGUAAAGCGUGCGCAGGCGGUUUGAGAAGUCCGAUGUGAAAGCCCCGGGCUUAACCUGGGAACGGCGUUGGAAACUCUCAAGCUUGAGUGUGGCAGAGGGGGGUGGAAUUCCACGUGUAGCAGUGAAAUGCGUAGAGAUGUGGAGGAACACCGAUGGCGAAGGCAGCCCCCUGGGCUAACACUGACGCUCAGGCACGAAAGCGUGGGGAGCAAACAGG
rnacentral:rRNA from 1 species